rnacentral:snRNA from 1 species
UCUAACUGUUAGUUGGAGU